UAAAGGCAGAGAUGUCAUAGGCGAGGGAUACUAAUUACCCUUUAGCUUUUUG
rnacentral:rRNA from 1 species